AAAGGUCCAUCGUCAUCCGCCCAGACUACCUGCACUACAUCCGCAAGUACAACCGCUUUGAGAAGCGUCCCAAGAACAUGUUGGUGCCCCUGUCCCCCUGCUUGCUGAGUUGCUCAGUUUGGAGGAAUCGUCACUGUGGGUGUGUGAGUGCCGGCCUCUCAGCAAGCCUGUGAGGUUCAACAUGCUGAAGAACAAAUGCAGCAGUUUCCUAUGGGACAAACAACAUGCAGAAGAAGGAGGGAGAAUGAGCACCUAUGUCUGAGUAUGGUGGAAAUACUGCUGUAAAGUGCACAGACCGAAAUAAAUCUGAUAUGUGAGAAGACUUUAUAACGAGACACUAAUGAGGGACUUGAGACCAAAAGAAAGACUGUCACCUGGAAAAUGUGAUCAUGAAGAACGUGCUAAUGAGUUAUUGAUAAUGGCCCCAAAGUACAAGAGAACUAUUGCUGAUGGCCCUGAUAUGCUUAAGGAAUGUUUUAAAGUGCCAAGGUAAGAAAUACUUAUUUAAUAAGGGUAUUCACAAUUAAGAACACUUUUCAAUUUAUGGAAAGGGUCAUGGAAUAUAAUGGCCACAUAAAAUGAGGUCCUUAUUGUAUUUAUUAUUAAGAAAAUUUUCACAAUGUCCCC
rnacentral:lncRNA from 1 species